AUCUCCAUGGUGGGCUAUACUUCAUUAACUCGAUGGCUGUGGAAAAAAGUAGAAGAACCUUGUACCAGUGGAGUAAAGACAUCUGUUACCUGCGUCUUUGAAGCUGAAGACAAAAAAUGGAUAUUUUCCAAUUUGAGUUGUGCGGUGUUGCUGAGUCUUCUCUCAUGAAAUUUUCAUUUGACUUUUGCGAACUCAAUGAAGAUGAAACCAAUUUCUGUAAAUCCGAUUUGUUGGCUGAGAGUAUCUUAAUAUGAUCACUGGUAAGACUAUUCUGGCCCUUGAGAAUGAUCUCCUACUGUUUACUUUCUUAGAUGAUUUCUUUUCUUUUGUUGUAACUGCCGAUCGUUGAGAUUGAAGGAGAGAAAUUUUCUAAGUGCUCUGUUUCUUCAUACUGCACACUAUCUGUUUGAUGAAAUGCUAGACUAUUCUCAUUAUCACUAUUAAACUCUGCUCUGAUCCAUGGUCUAUAUUUUAGUCUUGU